rnacentral:rRNA from 1 species
GAUGAACGCUGGCGGCGUGCCUAAUACAUGCAAGUCGAGCGAACGGACGAGAAGCUUGCUUCUCUGAUGUUAGCGGCGGACGGGUGAGUAACACGUGGAUAACCUACCUAUAAGACUGGGAUAACUUCGGGAAACCGGAGCUAAUACCGGAUGAUAUUUUGAACCGCAUGGUUCAAAAGUGAAAGACGGUCUUGCUGUCACUUAUAGAUGGAUCCGCGCUGCAUUAGCUAGUUGGUAAGGUAACGGCUUACCAAGGCAACGAUGCAUAGCCGACCUGAGAGGGUGAUCGGCCACAUUGGAACUGAGACACGGUCCAGACGCCUACGGGAGGCAGCAGUAGGGAAUCUUCCGCAGUGGGCGAAAGCCUGACGGAGCAACGCCGCGUGAGUUAUGAAGGUCUUCGGAUCGUAAAACUCUGUUAUUAGGGAAGAACAUAUGUGUAAGUAACUGUGCACAUCUUGACGGUACCUAAUCAGAAAGCCACGGCUAACUACGUG